GAUUUUAUUUUUUAUGUUUUUAGAUGUUCAUGUUUUUGAAUGUUUUAUUCGAAUAAUAUAAAAAAUAAAAUAUAUAUUGACAUGGAUUAAACAAAGAUAUAUAUUAUUCUAUGUUGUAUAAACAAAUUGGCAAAAUAGAGAUGGAAGAUAAAAAUAUGGUCAAAGUAAUAAGAGUCUAUGGUGAAUGCCUAGGAGCUUUAAGGCGAAGAAGGUCGUGGUAAGCUGCGAAAAGCUUGGGGGAGAAGCAAACAUUUAUUGAUCCCAAGAUUACCGAAUGGAGUAAUCCAGCUAGCAAGAUGCUAGCUAUCUAUUAUUAAAUAAUARAGGCGAUACCAGG
rnacentral:misc_RNA from 1 species